rnacentral:rRNA from 1 species
AAAUGAAUAGACGGGGGCCCGCACAAGCGGUGGAGCAUGUGGUUUAAUUCGACGCAACGCGAAGAACCUUACCAGGGCUUGACAUCCUUAGGAGCUGGUGGAAACACCGGUGUGCCACCUUCGGGUGGAACUAAGAGACAGGUGGUGCAUGGUUGUCGUCAGCUCGUGUCGUGAGAUGUUGGGUUAAGUCCCGCAACGAGCGCAACCCCUACAUCUAGUUGCCAUCAGGUAAAGCUGGGCACUCUAGAAGAACUGCCGGUGACAAACCGGAGGAAGGUGGGGAUGACGUCAAAUCAUCAUGCCCUUUAUGUCCUGGGCUACACACGUGCUACAAUGGAUGGUACAGACGGAAGCGAAGCCGCGAGGUGAAGCAAAUCUGAGAAAGCCAUUCACAGUUCGGAUUGCAGGCUGCAACUCGCCUGCAUGAAGUCGGAAUCGCUAGUAAUCGCUGGUCAGCAUACAGCGGUGAAUACGUUCCCGGGCCUUGUACACACCGCCCGU